GGCGAGAUGGCCGAGCGGUCCAAGGCGUCAGACUAAGGAUCUGAUCCAUUCGUGGGCGAGGGUUCGAAUCCCUCUCUCGUCA
rnacentral:tRNA from 1 species